AGAGAGAUACAGAGAGACAGGUAGAGAGAGAGAGAGAUACAGAGAGAGACAGGUAGAGAGAGAGAGAGAGAGAUACAGAGAGGGACAGGUAGAGAGCGAGAGAGAGACAGAUACAAAGAGAGAGGUAGAGAGAGAGAGAGAGAGAGAGGGACAGGUAGAGAGAGAGAUACAGAGAGAGACAGGUAGAGAGAGAGAGAGAGAGAGAGAGAGAGAGAGAGAAAUGAGAUACAGAGAGGGACAGGUAGAGAGAGAGAGAGAAGUAGAGAGAGAGAUACAGAGAGAGACAGGUGGAGAGAGAGAGAGAGAUACAGAGAGAGACAGGUAGAGAGAGAGAGAGAGAGAAUGAGAUACAGAGAGGGACAGGUAGAGAGAGAGAGAGAGAGAGAGAGAGAGAGAGAGAGAGACAAGUAGAGAGAGAGAGAUACAGAGAGAGACCGGUGGAGAGAGAGAGAGAGAGCGAUACAGAGAGAGACAGGUAGAGAGAGAGAGAGAGAGAGAGAGAAUGAGAUACAGAGAGGGACAGGUAGAGAGAGAGAUACAGAGGGAGACAGGUAGAGAGAGAGAGAGAGAAUGAGAUACAGAGAGGGACAGGUAGAGAGAGAGAGAGAGAGAGAGAGAGAGAGACAAGUAGAGAGAGAGAGAUACAGAGAGAGACCGGUGGAGAGAGAGAGAGAGCGAUACAGAGAGGGACAGGUAGAGAGAGAGAGAGAGAUACAGAGGGAGACAGACAGAUGCAGAGAUACACAGAGAGAUGGACAGAAAGAUAGAUACAGAAAAAGAGAGGCAGGUACUGUAGAUAAAUACAGAGAGAGACCGGUAGAGAGAGAGAGAUAGAGAUAGAGAGAGAGAUACAGGUAGAGACUGAAAGACAGACGGAGGGAGAGAGACCGAGGCCGUGGAUGUCUGAAUUGUCAGUAGGUGAGAAAAGCCGGAUGGUGUACUGCUUCCGGCGGGAUUUUGCAGCGUGCAACCGACGGACACUGGACACUGCACGAGUCAAAAAUCCCACCGGUGCGGACGAGCUCAGGAAAUAAAUGUCGGAGGACAGCGUCGGCUCUUUAAGUAUUAAACCUCGGUUAAACGGGAAUUAUUUAACAAUACCCGAAUACAUCAUCGACUUAUUGAAGGGUUAAAGAAGUAAACGUUAAAAUCUUUUUUGUGAUCUCCAUCA
ensembl:lncRNA